rnacentral:rRNA from 1 species
UACUAGAGUAGCACUCGCAUAUCAAUAAGCGGAGGAAAAGAAACUAACAAGGAUUCCCCUAGUAACGGCGAGUGAAGCGGGAAGAGCUCAAAUUUGAAAUCUUAAAGGGUUUCCCUUUACGAACUGUAGUUUAAAGAAGUGUUUUCUGUUGAGGUUUUGGUAAAAGUUCUUUGGAAUAGGACAUCAUAGAAGGUGAGAAUCCCGUAUUUGACCUUUACUUUCAACUUUGCUGAUACACUUUCAAAGAGUCGGAUUGUUUGGGAAUGCAGUCCAAAAUGGGUGGUAAAUUUCAUCUAAAGCUAAAUAUUGGCGAGAGACCGAUAGCGAACAAGUACCGUGAGGGAAAGAUGAAAAGAACUUUGAAAAGAGAGUUAAACAGUAGCGUGAAAUUGUCAAAAGGGAAGCGUUUGACACCAGUGUUGUUUUUCUGAAAAUCAAUUAAAGAACUGUUUAUGCUAAGUUGUUUAGACUUUAUCAGCUAUCUGUUUAGUUUUGAGCUUUUCUUUAAUGCACUUUUCAGUUAACAAGUCAACAUCAAUUUCUUUUGCUGUAAAAAAGCUUGAGGAAGGUGGCUUGAGAUUUGUCUUAAGUGUUCAUAGCCUCUUGCCUAUGCAGUCGGAGAGAUUGAGGUCUGCAGCGUAGAUCCUUCGGGGCUAAAUGCAUUUGUGCUAAGUUAUAGCAUUUUAUAGACAACUUGUUGACUAUGAUUUGUCUUGUAGCUUACUCGCUUAUGUUAUUUUACCUACGCUUAGGAUGUUGAACUCUAUCACACACAG